rnacentral:lncRNA from 10 species
AAAAAUUAGCCAGGCUUGGUUGCUCAUGCCUGUAGUCCCAGACUGAGGUGGGAUAGUCACUUGAGCCCGGGAGGUCAAGGCUGCAGUGAGAUCCUACCACUGCACUCCAGCCUGAAGUCAAAGUCAAUUUCAUUGCCAGUUUAUUUUGCCAGUGUUGAAGAUACCUAUGAGUAGUCAACAUAAGUAGUGAGAUGCCCUGUGUCCUUUUGUCAGUCCUAAGUCUAAGAAAGCUAGUGUCC